CCUACGGGUGGCAGCAGUGAGGAAUAUUGGUCAAUGGGCGGAAGCCUGAACCAGCCAAGUCGCGUGAGGGAAUAAGGCCCUACGGGUCGUAAACCUCUUUUGCCGGGGAGCAAGGGCGGGGACGUGUCCCGUCCCGGAGAGUACCCGGAGAAAAAGCCUCGGCUAACUCCGUGCCAGCAGCCGCGGUAAUACGGAGGAUGCGAGCGUUAUCCGGAUUUAUUGGGUUUAAAGGGUGCGUAGGCGGGCUUUUAAGUCAGCGGUAAAAAUUCGGGGCUCAACCCCGUCCGGCCGUUGAAACUGGGGGCCUUGAGUGGGCGAGAAGAAGGCGGAAUGCGUGGUGUAGCGGUGAAAUGCAUAGAUAUCACGCAGAACCCCGAUUGCGAAGGCAGCCUUCCGGCGCCCGACUGACGCUGAGGCACGAAAGUGCGGGGAUCGAACAGGAUUAGAUACCCUUGUAGUC
rnacentral:rRNA from 1 species